GACGAACGCUGGCGGCGUGCUUAACACAUGCAAGUCGAACGGUAAGGCCCUUCGGGGUACACGAGUGGCGAACGGGUGAGUAACACGUGGGUGAUCUGCCCUGCACUUCGGGAUAAGCCUGGGAAACUGGGUCUAAUACCGGAUAGGACUCCUGGCUUCAUGGUUGGGGGUGGAAAGCUUUUGCGGGGUGGGAUGGGCCCGCGGCCUAUCGGCUUGUUGGUGGGGGAAUGGCCUACCAAGGCGACGCCGGGUAGCCGGCCUGAGGGGGUGACCGGUCACACUGGGACUGAGCUACUGCCCGGACGCCUACGGGGGGCAGCAGUGGGGAAUAUUGCACCAUGGGCGCAAGCCUGAUGCAGCGACGCCGCGUGAGGGAUGACGGCCUUCGGGUUGUAAACCUCUUUCAGCUAUGACGAAGCGCAAGUGACGGUAGUAGCAGAAGAAGGACCGGCCAACUACGUGCCAGCCGCCGCAGUAA
rnacentral:rRNA from 1 species